GUUGCCGGAAAUGUAGUAGGCAAAAAGUUUUCAAAUAUGACUCCAUAACAGGACGAAGGAUAAAUGAGGGGCAAGAGGAAGUAAGGGUGAAAUGGUUACCUUGCUCUGCAUGUGGAAAAAUCUGGGAGGAGACAUGGGAGCCGGCCUGCCAGUUCUCACCAGGUGCCAACCAUGUGUAAUGUCACACAUUGGUCUGUAAUUCAAUGAGUUGAACCUGCUAUGAGAUGUAAAGUUUGCCGUUUUGGGCCCAGCCAUCCUGCUUGCGGAUGUGACUUACACACGUUCAAUGGUUUCCACCCUAACA